rnacentral:sRNA from 1 species
AUUCCCGGAUCCGGGAUCCUGGUUGAUAGAGCAGCACUUCCACUGCCUGCUUCCCACUAUAUGCAAGUACAGCACAUACAAGCCGUAGAUUCAGCGGGCCAGAGACGACCCUUCUUUCUGCCUCAUGGGAAUCUCUACGUCUCACUGGACAAGGCGUGAAUAUAUUCCAUUCCCUUCAAUGUUCUGGAAGCAAAUGGCUUAGGGUGUCGAUUGUGAAAGAGUUCCGAGACACCAUCCUUCAGCGGGUGAUAGGGGUUCCCGGGUGUGUCAGUAAGUUCGCAUUUUGUCAAAGUUGAUUUUCCAUUUCUACCCAAAUUGAAAACAAAAACUCGAAUUAAAAACAGUGACCGUGAGGAGUCUAUUUGCAUAUCGUGAAGAAUAAGUGGGCAUCGUUUUUCCUCCCUCAACCACAAAGGCUGGCAAGAUCGCAUGUGGAGCACAGAUAAGCAAAAUCCUGGCAGAAAACAAGAGUGGAAAGCGAAGAAAGAUGCCGAAUAGCAUUUAACCAAGGACAUGGGGCACCUGCUAGAAAAUUAAGAAGAAGAAGAAGAAGAAGAAGAAGAAGAAGAAGAAGCAGAACAUCGAGCAUGCAUCAUUGCCAAACAGUGUAAUGCUAAACAACAAUCAGGAAAACAAACAAAAAAGUCCAACUACCAAGAGCACGGAAAUGAAGCCACCCUCGGAAAUUUUUGAACAGAUGUUGCAUGUGCGGGUAUGCUGGAAAGCAAAGAAAGGCUCAACAGGAGAAGAUGGAAUGGAAACUGGAUGACAUGUGUUGAAAAUUGAAAAUUCAAAAUUGAAUAACACGUUCGCCCUCCUUGUAAAUGCAGUUGGACUUUAGUCAAAAUUCGUGAACA